GGUUAAGUUAAUAAGGGCGCACGGUGGAUGCCUUGGCACUAAGAGCCGAUGAAGGACGGGACUAACUCCGAUAUGCUUUGGGGAGCUGUAAGUAAGCUUUGAUCCAAAGAUUUCCGAAUGGGGAAACCCGG
rnacentral:rRNA from 1 species